UACGAAGGGGGCUAGCGUUGCUCGGAAUCACUGGGCGUAAAGCGCACGUAGGCGGAUUUGUAAGUCAGGGGUGAAAUCCCGGGGCUCAACCUCGGAACUGCCUUUGAUACUGCAAAUCUCGAGUCCGGAAGAGGUGAGUGGAAUUCCUAGUGUAGAGGUGAAAUUCGUAGAUAUUAGGAAGAACACCAGUGGCGAAGGCGGCUCACUGGUCCGGUACCGACGCUGAGGUGCGAAAGCGUGGGGAGCAAACCGG
rnacentral:rRNA from 1 species